rnacentral:misc_RNA from 1 species
GAUGAACUGUUGUUGCAGACGACCAGACGGCAUAAAAGGGGAACUCCUGACAAAAACUCAUCAAUUUAUUAAUCCCUAUAUUAAGCCAAUACUUCUCUCCGAUGAAAGCGAGGAGGGGACAUCUGCAAUCUGAAUCGCGGCCAUCAUGUGUGACUGAGUAUUGGUGCUUUUCGCCACGCCAGCAGCUACUAUCUGCUGGCUUUUUUC